AAUCUUGAAUUACAAAAAGUCUUCAAAGUAAAGAUUAUAACAUAUGCAGUAUGUGCAUGGUUUUAAACGGUUUGCGUCGUUAUCGUAUGUGAGAGUAAACUUUCUAGGCACGUAAUGUAAUACAGUUAAAACACAUAAGAAACUAAGCUAACCAUUACCUAUAAAAUAAAAAAUAAACUUUUAUAGAUAUUAUGAGUCAACUCAUGUUUUAAA